CUGUCAUUCAUUAGUAUGUUCUAACUUGUGCAUGUUAUGUGAUAUUUUGCAGAAGUUGAUCAACGGUUGAGAUACUGAGGGGAGAGAACUGGUGCAGAUAUUACUUGCAGCUGGAGCUGAUCCAUCUGCUCAAGAUUCACAGAAUGGGAGGACAGCUUUGCAUACUAGUGGACAAACAUAAAAAUGAGGUCCCAAAAGAAUAAAAAGGCAGAACAAAAGUGGGAAUAUGGAAUAUCAGCCGCGACAAGCAAGUGAGACUUCCCUGACUAAGUGAUAUUCAAUGGCUUGAUAAUUGAACAGAGAAGGUUUCUACAAAUGCUGCUUCAGCUGUAGUUAGCUUAUCCUUGAAUGAAGGGGAAGCUGAUUAGGAUGCAUAGUGAAGUUUGCAUUGUGCUAGAGGGGAGAGAACUGGUGCAGAUAUUGCUUGCAGCUGGAGCUGAUCCAUCUGCUCAAGAUUCACAGAAUGGGAGGACAACUUUGCAUACUAGUGGACAGGCAUAAAAAUGAGGUGAAGAAGCAUUAAUGUGGUCCCAAAAGAAUAAAAAGGCAGAACAAAAGUGGGGGAAUAUGGAAUAUCAGCCGCGACAAGCAAGCGUAAAACCACGGUAUCUCUGGCAUCUUAAUAUUGUUAAAGUUGAAUUUGGAUCCAACCCGGUCAGAAUUUUGAAUAUUGAGGUAAAUAAAGGUUUAUCUCUCGAGUUCAUCUUCUACUGAAAUUUAGAACUGAUUUUGAAUAUUGUAAAAUCCGUUCAUCUUCGUUGUAGCUAUUCAUCGCGAGUUCAUCAUCUCCCAUAAGGAUGCAGGAGGGUUGAAGCCACCGGAUUCAUUUUCGUUCACCACCUCUUCGGCGCCGCUGUUCUCGACGGUG